rnacentral:rRNA from 1 species
UACGUAGGGGGCGAGCGUUGUCCGGAUUUAUUGGGCGUAAAGAGCGUGUAGGCGGCCAGGUAGGUCUGCUGUGAAAACUCGAGGCUCAACCUCGAGACGUCGGCGGAAACCAUCUGGCUAGAGUCCGGAAGAGGAGAGUGGAAUUCCUGGUGUAGCGGUGAAAUGCGCAGAUAUCAGGAAGAACACCCGUGGCGAAGACGGCUCUCUGGGACGGUACUGACGCUGAGACGCGAAAGCGUGGGGAGCGAACAGG